rnacentral:misc_RNA from 1 species
CAACCCUCAAGCACUGCUUGGUGUUGGGCCCUGCCCGUAGCGGCCGGCCCUAAAGACAGUGGCGGCGCCGUCUGGCUCUAAGCGUAGUACAACUCUCGCUCUAGAGUCCUGCGGUAGCUUGCCAGAACCCCUAAUCUUAU